rnacentral:rRNA from 1 species
GACAGAGGCCUCGAGCGUUAGGCGGAAUCACUGGGCUUAAAGCGUGUGUAGGCGGAUCGUUAAGUACCUUGUGAAAUCCCACGGCUCAACCGUGGAACGGCUGGGUAUACUGGCGGUCUUGGGCCAUUCAGGGGCGACUGGAACAAGCGGUGGAGCGGUGAAAUGCGUAGAUAUCGCUUGGAACGCCGAAGGUGAAAACAGGUCGCUGGGGAUGUGCCGACGCUGAGACACGAAAGCCAGGGGAGCAAACAGG